AGUUUUAUCCUAAAAUUGUUAGAAAACGAAAGCCAUAUGUCUAAACAAGUUGUGUUCCUAAUCCAAAGUUGAUAGUGCAAAAAUUGAAACGCUAAAAUAUAUCAAUGAUUUUCGGGCCAUCACUGAAGUCCAAUGUGUGAAGACCUGCUAACUGAAGCAACCAGUUGAUCGGCAUGUGGUCUAACCGAUUCAUGUCAAAAUGGGCAAAAUGAACCUCUGGACCUGUGAAAUAAAACAAUAAAUAUUAAUAUUAAGAUAUGGUGAAGAAGAUAUAGAAAUGACAGCAUUUAUUUAGAAAACUCAUCACCUGGGCCUACAAUAAGGGCUCCACCUUGCUGCAGCGGAUCUCCUUGAAAGUCAAAAGCGGGGCUGGUCAUGGCGCGCCACAUACUUCUCAGACUGCCAAUCAGUGGACUGGACUUCACAUGUGGACUGUUGGAAGCUACAAAUGCAGAUGAAGAUAGCUUGGUUUCCAUUCAAAUUUGCUAAUUUAACCUAUG